AUUGAACGCUGGCGGCAGGCCUAACACAUGCAAGUCGAACGAGUGGCGGACGGGUGAGUAAUGUCUGGGAAUCUGCCUGAUGGAGGGGGAUAACUACUGGAAACGGUAGCUAAUACCGCAUACCAUCAGAUGUGCCCACAUGGGAUUAGCUUGUUGGUGGGGUAACGGCUCACCAAGGCGACGAUCCCUAGAUGGUCUGAGAGGAUGAACAGCCACACUGGAACUGUGACACGGUCCAGACGCCUACGGGAGGCAGCAGUGGGGAAUAUUGCACAAUGGGCGCAAGCCUGAUGCAGCCAUGCCGCGUGUAUGAAGAAGGCCUUCGGGUUGUAAAGUACUUUCAGCGGGGAGGCGUUACCCGCAGAAGAAGCACCGGCUAACUCCGUGCCAGCCGCCGCGGUAAUAC
rnacentral:rRNA from 1 species